ACAAGAUCCGACGGCAGCUGACAGGCGGACCUCAUCGCAUUAAUCCACAGCUGAAGACGGGUGGUUGGCCGUUCGGGAUAAGGACUCCACCAGGUUGGACAGAGUGGACAUUCCCCGACUGUCACUCGACGAUCCAGCCAAGGUGUACCUGGUGCAGGGACCACACGUUCGAUUGGGGAGCACCUGGACAUCCCGAAGGUCUUGGAUGCUGGAGACCCCUUGAAAUCAGGAGUUCAGUUGGUGUCGAACUAGAGCAAAGAACACUGGUCCAGGAUGUCGGGAGGCUGAAAAUCGAGGUGAAGCUAUCAUCGUGCUGGCGGUUCAAAGAACGCGAGGAGAUCUCAUGAAAUAGAAUCGUCAUCCCAGGCGUCAAUCUGUCUCUUCCAGCCGAAGGCCGGACCAAUCAGACCCGACCUCCAGACACAUGCUUGCAACCUCAGUCACUCACUGAUUUUUAAGUGGACUGGGAGAAAUAAAACCGGAGGGACACUA